rfam:Xenorhabdus beddingii strain DSM 4764 Xbed_12, whole genome shotgun sequence.
AGUCGUUGGUGGCACAACAUCCCAUUCAGGGCGGUUGGCUCACGCACAUCAGUAUAAGUACAGAUACGCAAGUGCCAAAACCCGCCCAAAAAGGCGGGUUUUUUUAU